rnacentral:rRNA from 1 species
AUGAACGCUGGCGGCGUGCUUAAUACAUGCAAGUCGAACGAGGAGCUUUUUUCUUCGGAAUAGAGUUUCCUAGUGGCGAACGGGUGAGUGACGCGUUGGUGACCUGCCCCGAAGUGGGGGAUAACAGUUCGAAAGGACUGCUAAUACCCCAUGCAAUCAGUUGGGUUAGAGGCCUGCUGAUUAAAGGAGUAAUCCGCUUUGGGUGGGGCCUGCGUCCCAUCAGCUAGUUGGUAGGGUAAAAGCCUACCAAGGCUAUGACGGGUAGGGGACCUGAGAGGGUGGACCCCCACACUGGCACUGAAACACGGGCCAGACACCUACGGGUGGCAGCAGUAGGGAAUAUUGGACAAUGGGCGAAAGCCUGAUCCAGCAACGCCGCGUGCGCGAUGACGGCCUUCGGGUUGUAAAGCGCUUUUAGAGGAGAUGAGAAAGGACAGUAUCCUCUGAAUAAGCCUCGGCGAACUACGU